AGAGUUUGAUCCUGGCUCAGGACGAACGCUGGCGGCGUGCCUAAUACAUGCAAGUAGAACGCUGAAGAGAGGAGCUUGCUCUUCUUGGAUGAGUUGCGAACGGGUGAGUAACGCGUAGGUAACCUGCCUUGUAGCGGGGGAUAACUAUUGGAAACGAUAGCUAAUACCGCAUAACAAUGGAUGACACAUGUCAUUUAUUUGAAAGGGGCAAUUGCUCCACUACAAGAUGGACCUGCGUUGUAUUAGCUAGUAGGUGAGGUAACGGCUCACCUAGGCGACGAUACAUAGCCGACCUGAGAGGGUGAUCGGCCACACUGGGACUGAGACACGGCCCAGACUCCUACGGGAGGCAGCAGUAGGGAAUCUUCGGCAAUGGGGGCAACCCUGACCGAGCAACGCCGCGUGAGUGAAGAAGGUUUUCGGAUCGUAAAGCUCUGUUGUAAGUCAAGAACGAGUGUGAGAGUGGAAAGUUCACACUGUGACGGUAGCUUACCAGAAAGGGACGGCUAACUACGUGCCAGCAGCCGCGGUAAUACGUAGGUCCCGAGCGUUGUCCGGAUUUAUUGGGCGUAAAGCGAGCGCAGGCGGUUUGAUAAGUCUGAAGUUAAAGGCUGUGGCUCAACCAUAGUUCGCUUUGGAAACUGUCAAACUUGAGUGCAGAAGGGGAGAGUGGAAUUCCAUGUGUAGCGGUGAAAUGCGUAGAUAUAUGGAGGAACACCGGUGGCGAAAGCGGCUCUCUGGUCUGUAACUGACGCUGAGGCUCGAAAGCGUGGGGAGCAAACAGGAUUAGAUACCCUGGUAGUCCACGCCGUAAACGAUGAGUGCUA
rnacentral:rRNA from 1 species